rnacentral:rRNA from 1 species
AACAAACGCUGGCGGCGAGCCUAACACAUGCAAGUCGUACGAGAAAGGGUCCUUCGGGGCCUGAGUAAAGUGGCGCACGGGUGUGUAACGCGUGGAUAAUCUGCCCCUCAGUUGGGAAUAACUCAUCGAAAGGUGGGCUAAUACCGAAUAAUGCUGUGAGACCUCGGUUGAUCAGCCAAAGAGAGCCUCUGCUUGCAAGCCCUCGCUGAAGGAUGAGUCCGCGUACCAUUAGCUAGUUGGUAGGGUAAUGGCCUACCAAGGCGACGAUGGUUAGAUGGUCUGAGAGGAUGAUCAGCCAACCAGGAGCUGAGACACGGUCUGGACACCUACGGGAGGCAGCAGUGAGGAAUCUUGCGCAUUGGGGGCAACCCUGACGCAGUAACGCCGCGUGAGUGAGGAAGGUCUCGGAUCGUAAAGCUCUGUCGGAUGGAAAGAACCGCAUAGGGGUAAACAGCCCCUGUGUCUGACGGUACCAUCAAAGGAAGCACCGGCUAACUCCGUGCCAGCCGCCGCCGUAAAAC